rnacentral:rRNA from 1 species
CCUACGGGAGGCAGCAGUGAGGAAUAUUGGUCAAUGGGAGAGAUCCUGAACCAGCCAAGCCGCGUGAGGGAAGACGGCCCUAUGUGUUGUAAACCUCUUUUGUCGGGGAACAAAACCCGGGACGUGUCCCGGACUGCGUGUAUCCGAAGAAAAAGCAUCGGCUAACUCCGUGCCAGCAGCCGCGGUAAUACGGGGGAUGCGAGCGUUAUCCGGAUUUAUUGGGUUUAAAGGGUCGGUAGGCGGUCCGUUAAGUCAGCGGUAAAAUUGCGGGGCUAAACCCCGUCGAGCCGUUGCAACUGGCAGACUGGAGUUGGCGAGAGGUACGCGGAAUGCGCGGUGUAGCGGUGAAAUGCAUAGAUAUCGCGCAGAACUCCGAUUGCGAAGGCAGCGUACCGGCGCCAGACUGACGCUGAGGCACGAAAGCGUGGGGAUCGAACAGGAUUAGAUACCCCAGUAGUC